GGCCAACCUGAUAACAUACUUCACAAGUCAAAAAGGAAAAUGAGUAGAUAUUCUAUUGGUAUGAGUUAGCUGAAAAAAGUUAUGAAACUAGUAAGGGUUAGGGGCUAAAGAAUCAUGGUUAAAACAAUGAUAACUUGAAUAGAUUUUUUUUAUGAAAACAAUGUCAGGAAAAGAAUCCUUCUUAUUUUGUACAUCUUUCUUUUAAUUCUGCUAUCAUUUUUUUAAAAUUCUGAGCUCUUGGCAAGUAAAGAAACAUAUGAAUUUUGACGCCUACAGAUAGAACAAUUAAGAGAAGGUGUUCAUCUCAUGAACUCAAAUUACAAAAUGAUCUUUUAUAAUACAAAUGCAACAAAUGUAGACCAUCAAAGCAGAUGAGCAUGAAUAUAAAGAAACUACAAGAUUAACUUCAGGAAUUAUACCCUGAUGGAAGCAUUGAUUAUGGUUUACUUGACAGAUUUUCUAAAUAGAAAUAUGUAGAGUUUGCAAUUUCUACUUGAAAGAUAAGAGCCUUAUCUGAAUCCACUGUGAAGCCCUGUUGAACCAUCCUGGGACUUUUUAGCUAGUUGAUAGGACACAAAAAGGGAUACAGAAAGUCAUUGAUGUUAGGGAGGAUUCAAGAGGAGAUGUUCUGAACCGAGACGAUGAGAAA
rnacentral:misc_RNA from 1 species